ensembl:lncRNA
GUGUAAUCUCCCAGGUGAACUGGGGAGACUGCACUUUAUCAGAUCAACAAGAUUGCAUAAAGAAUCUGCCUGGCUGGCUUUUUUUCACCCCCUCCUUAGUCUUCCGCUAGCAGUUAUGUUCCUUUUGGUGUCUGACUCACCACAUUUGUAGCGCCAAACUCAUUUUGUUUUUCAUUUACCCAGUGGGACCGCGUCCUGUCUCCUCCGAGGUGGUGUAUAUAUAUAUAUUUAUAUCGUUUCCAUUCCGCCAGCGCUCCACGUUUACGUCACUGCCGCCUCCGCCCUCAUUAUGUAUGCGGCGGGAGCGGCACGACUGCGGAGCCACGGAGAGCUGGACUCAUUGGGGACACAAUUAGUCCCGAUUAAAAAUACAAAACAAAGCCCUCCUUCGGUCCCGACGUGACCUACAUCACCAUGCCGGGGAGCGACACACACACGCGCUCUCCAAGAUGAUGAGGAGAGGAGGGUUGACAACGAGGUAUGAUGGACGCCCAUGGUGUCAGGUGAUCCCCGUCCAUUGAAUCCGAUGAACCCCUCCACGAAGUUGACGCAGGCGGUCGGGGCCAGGCAGCGGCAGAGGUGGAGCCAGGGGUCAUGGAUUGUAGCGUUGUCCUCUUCCACCGCGAUGGGAUUCAUUUGUGCUGUCAUCCGGCAACUCUCGGAGUCGUGCGGUGUAUGGGGCACGAGAGUCGCGUAACCGCUUGACCUGGGCUCCCGUCUCGUCUUUCCCGCACUGCUCGCCACAUUGGUGUCAGAAGUAGGAUGUGGCCUGCUCACGCGGAGAGGGACUUGAGCUUCACGGUCGAGCCCAUGGAGGCCCCAACCGACGCUGACGCACCCUGCGCUAGGGGCCCCCCUGUGACCACGACCGGAAUGGCCGGGGAACCAGCAGCUGCCAGGACAGCGGUUAAGCUGCCGUAGUUCUCCGGGGCAAUGCAUCUGGAGCCGUACCUGGCACAGUUCCGGCUCGCUGAGGGGCACAACGGCUGGGGUGCCGGGAAGGCGGUCGUCCACCUCGCCCUAGCGCUGGAGUGGACAGCGGUGCAGGCGCUCCUGGACCCUGCCCCAGCGGACCAACGGGACCUCGGGGCCCUGACCCGGGCCGUCGGCAGCCACAGCCGCGAGCUGCUAACCAGACGCCGCCGCCAGGAGGGGGAACGGUUUGGGGCCUACGCAGCGGACUUGCAGCUGUACGCCCAGCGGGGUUAAUCAGGCUUCCCUGCUGCGGCUUGGGAUGAGCUAGCCCUGCAUGCCUUCCUUCAGGGACUGGCCCCGCCGUGGCUGGGGCAGCACGUUCGACUCUUCAUGCCCCCGACCCCCCACGUGGAGAGCCCUCGAUGUGGCUCUCCACGUGGCCGAACAGGCGGAGCGGGAGCUCUCCGACCAACCCAGCCUGCAGGAGGAUGAUGGCCAGGACCAGUCUGGUCCGGCCAAGCACUGCUGCCGUUGUUGUGGUGCCCGGAUGGACGCGGCUGGGGCUGUCCUCUCCAGUGGCACAACUACAGUGGCUUCCCAGUCCGGGCACGACGAGGAAAGGGUCCGGAAACCCAGGC